rnacentral:rRNA from 1 species
AGCGUACACGGUGGAUGCCCUGGCAGUCAGAGGCGAUGAAGGACGUGCUAAUCUGCGAUAAGCGUCGGUAAGGUGAUAUGAACCGUUAUAACCGGCGAUUUCCGAAUGGGGAAACCCAGUGUGUUUCGACACACUAUCAUUAACUGAAUCCAUAGGUUAAUGAGGCGAACCGGGGGAACUGAAACAUCUAAGUACCCCGAGGAAAAGAAAUCAACCGAGAUUCCCCCAGUAGCGGCGAGCGAACGGGGAGCAGCCCAGAGCCUGAAUCAGUGUGUGUGUUAGUGGAAGCGUCUGGAAAGGCGCGCGAUACAGGGUGACAGCCCCGUACACAAAAAUGCACAUGCUGUGAGCUCGAUGAGUAGGGCGGGACACGUGGUAUCCUGUCUGAAUAUGGGGGGACCAUCCUCCAAGGCUAAAUACUCCUGACUGACCGAUAGUGAACCAGUACCGUGAGGGAAAGGCGAAAAGAACCCCGGCGAGGGGAGUGAAAAAGAACCUGAAACCGUGUACGUACAAGCAGUGGGAGCACGCUUCGGCGUGUGACUGCGUACCUUUUGUAUAAUGGGUCAGCGACUUAUAUUCUGUAGCAAGGUUAACCGAAUAGGGGAGCCGAAGGGAAACCGAGUCUUAACUGGGCGUUAAGUUGCAGGGUAUAGACCCGAAACCCGGUGAUCUAGCCAUGGGCAGGUUGAAGGUUGGGUAACACUAACUGGAGGACCGAACCGACUAAUGUUGAAAAAUUAGCGGAUGACUUGUGGCUGGGGGUGAAAGGCCAAUCAAACCGGGAGAUAGCUGGUUCUCCCCGAAAGCUAUUUAGGUAGCGCCUCGUGAAUUCAUCUCCGGGGGUAGAGCACUGUUUCGGCAAGGGGGUCAUCCCGACUUACCAACCCGAUGCAAACUGCGAAUACCGGAGAAUGUUAUCACGGGAGACACACGGCGGGUGCUAACGUCCGUCGUGAAGAGGGAAACAACCCAGACCGCCAGCUAAGGUCCCAAAGUCAUGGUUAAGUGGGAAACGAUGUGGGAAGGCCCAGACAGCCAGGAUGUUGGCUUAGAAGCAGCCAUCAUUUAAAGAAAGCGUAAUAGCUCACUGGUCGAGUCGGCCUGCGCGGAAGAUGUAACGGGGCUAAACCAUGCACCGAAGCUGCGGCAGCGACGCUGAUGCGUUGUUGGGUAGGGGAGCGUUCUGUAAGCCUGCGAAGGUGUGCUGUGAGGCAUGCUGGAGGUAUCAGAAGUGCGAAUGCUGACAUAAGUAACGAUAAAGCGGGUGAAAAGCCCGCUCGCCGGAAGACCAAGGGUUCCUGUCCAACGUUAAUCGGGGCAGGGUGAGUCGACCCCUAAGGCGAGGCCGAAAGGCGUAGUCGAUGGGAAACAGGUUAAUAUUCCUGUACUUGGUGUUACUGCGAAGGGGGGACGGAGAAGGCUAUGUUGGCCGGGCGACGGUUGUCCCGGUUUAAGCGUGUAGGCUGGUUUUCCAGGCAAAUCCGGAAAAUCAAGGCUGAGGCGUGAUGACGAGGCACUACGGUGCUGAAGCAACAAAUGCCCUGCUUCCAGGAAAAGCCUCUAAGCAUCAGGUAACAUCAAAUCGUACCCCAAACCGACACAGGUGGUCAGGUAGAGAAUACCAAGGCGCUUGAGAGAACUCGGGUGAAGGAACUAGGCAAAAUGGUGCCGUAACUUCGGGAGAAGGCACGCUGAUAUGUAGGUGAGGUCCCUCGCGGAUGGAGCUGAAAUCAGUCGAAGAUACCAGCUGGCUGCAACUGUUUAUUAAAAACACAGCACUGUGCAAACACGAAAGUGGACGUAUACGGUGUGACGCCUGCCCGGUGCCGGAAGGUUAAUUGAUGGGGUCAGCGCAAGCGAAGCUCUUGAUCGAAGCCCCGGUAAACGGCGGCCGUAACUAUAACGGUCCUAAGGUAGCGAAAUUCCUUGUCGGGUAAGUUCCGACCUGCACGAAUGGCGUAAUGAUGGCCAGGCUGUCUCCACCCGAGACUCAGUGAAAUUGAACUCGCUGUGAAGAUGCAGUGUACCCGCGGCAAGACGGAAAGACCCCGUGAACCUUUACUAUAGCUUGACACUGAACAUUGAGCCUUGAUGUGUAGGAUAGGUGGGAGGCUUUGAAGUGUGGACGCCAGUCUGCAUGGAGCCGACCUUGAAAUACCACCCUUUAAUGUUUGAUGUUCUAACGUUGACCCGUAAUCCGGGUUGCGGACAGUGUCUGGUGGGUAGUUUGACUGGGGCGGUCUCCUCCUAAAGAGUAACGGAGGAGCACGAAGGUUGGCUAAUCCUGGUCGGACAUCAGGAGGUUAGUGCAAUGGCAUAAGCCAGCUUGACUGCGAGCGUGACGGCGCGAGCAGGUGCGAAAGCAGGUCAUAGUGAUCCGGUGGUUCUGAAUGGAAGGGCCAUCGCUCAACGGAUAAAAGGUACUCCGGGGAUAACAGGCUGAUACCGCCCAAGAGUUCAUAUCGACGGCGGUGUUUGGCACCUCGAUGUCGGCUCAUCACAUCCUGGGGCUGAAGUAGGUCCCAAGGGUAUGGCUGUUCGCCAUUUAAAGUGGUACGCGAGCUGGGUUUAGAACGUCGUGAGACAGUUCGGUCCCUAUCUGCCGUGGGCGCUGGAGAACUGAGGGGGGCUGCUCCUAGUACGAGAGGACCGGAGUGGACGCAUCACUGGUGUUCGGGUUGUCAUGCCAAUGGCACUGCCCGGUAGCUAAAUGCGGAAGAGAUAAGUGCUGAAAGCAUCUAAGCACGAAACUUGCCCCGAGA